ensembl:misc_RNA
GGGAGACAGUGGAUUUAUAUCCCACACAUAUCACACAGGCCACGAGCAGCUUCCCUUGCACAGUCUUGUCAUGCACUUUUUUCUUUUCUUCCUCUCCUUCUUAGGGUUGGUCAGAGCAGAAGCUGGGAGGAGUGAAAGGGUUU